rnacentral:rRNA from 1 species
GGAACUGCAUCCAAAACUAACUCACUAGAGUACGAUAGAGGGAGGUAGAAUUCAUAGUGUAGCGGUGGAAUGCGUAGAUAUUAUGAAGAAUACCAGUGGCGAAGGCGGCCUCCUGGAUCUGUACUGACACUGAGGUGCGAAAGCGUGGGUAGCGAACAGGAUUAGAUACCCUGGUAGUCCACGCCGUAAACGAUGACAACUAGCUGUUAGGAGACUAUGUCUUUUAGUGGCGCAGCUAACGUUUUAAGUUGUCCGCCUGGGGAGUACGGCCGCAAGGCUAAAACUCAAAUGAAUUGACGGGGACCCGCACAAGCAGUGGAUCAUGUGGUUUAAUUCGAUGCAACGCGAAAAACCUUACCUACUCUUGACAUACUUGGAAGCUCUUGUAAUGAGAGUGUGCUUUUAAGAACCAAGAUACAGGUGCUGCAUGGCUGUCGUCAGCUCGUGUCGUGAGAUGUUCCGUUAAGUCGGAUAACGAGCGCAACCCUUACCCUUAUUUGCCAGCGAUUCGGUCGGGAACUAUAAGGGGACUGCCGGUGAUAAACCGGAGGAAGGUGAGGACGACGUCAAGUCAUCAUGGCCCUUACGAGUAGGGCUACACACGUGAUACAAUGGGAGAGACAGACGGACGCUAAGCCGCGAGGUGGUGCUAAUCCUAGAAACUCUCUCGUAGUCCGGAUUGGAGUCUGCAACUCGACUCCAUGAAGUUGGAAUUGCUAGUAAUCGCGGAUCAGCAUGCCGCGGUGAAUACGUUCUCGGGUCUUGUACACACCGCCCGUCACACCAUGGAAGUGGAUUGCACCAGAAGUAGAUAGUCUAACCUUAGGGAAGGCGUUUACCACGGUGUGCUUCAUGACUGGGGUGAAGUCUGUAACAAGGUAAC